rnacentral:sRNA from 1 species
GAGCCUGAAACAACAGGCACCGGGUUUGGCGACCCGAGCAGUUAACGCGCACGGCCGCGCAAAGCGGCCUUUUU